ncrna:unclassified sequences RAGATH-11 RNA
AUUCUCUUGACGAGAAUAAUUCUUGGUUUGUGGUUCCAAGAUAGUCUAAAUAGUUGUCGAGUUCGCAGCUUCGGCUCGGAUGAGUGGCGCUGUUUAUGAUGAACGUCCCACGGUAA